AGAAGCGUCGGGAAAAACAGGAACGCCGCUGACAUUUACCGACGCUUUAAUUAAGCGUCGGUAAUUCUUAAGAAUAGCCGACGCUAAUAAGCGUCGUCGUACUCACAGUCUAAGACGACGCUUAUAAGCGUCGUCCAAAGUCAAAUUUACAACCAAAACCAAGCGGCCGGCCCCCUUCUCCUCAUUUUGCAUUCCGACCGAUCGAUCAAGCCCUAGCCCCUUCUCCUCCUCCCUUCUCUCCGACGACGAGCGAGCGGCCCUUGUCCUCUCCGACGACGAGCGAGCGGCCCUUGUCCUCUCCGGCGCCGAGCGACGUACGACAGCAAGCUCCUCUCCUCCUCCCUCCUCUCUGGCACCGAGCGACCGUCCGCGUCCUCCUCUCCUCCUUCCUCCUCUGCGGCGCCGACCGGCCGGCCCCAUCUCCCUCCGCCUGAGAAAGAGGGUUCUCCCCGCCACCACGACCUCAUCCUCCGGGCUUUCGCCGAGAUCUGGGACGAGGUCUUCUCCGGCUACGAGGACACCCCCGAUCUCCUCCGCCGUACCUACUCCUGCUUCUCCCAACCUCGGCACUUCUAAUAAUCAUACGUAAAUAUCCCCCCGCUCCUUAUCUCUUGCUCUUCUUCUUCUUCUUCUUCUUCUUCUUCUUCUUGGUAAAUGAUGCUCUUCUUCUUCUGUAUUGCUCUUUCCAUGAAUGAAUUCAUAGAUGGAAGCUAUCAAUGCUAUACUUUUGGCUUCUUUUUUUCUUUUGUGUGUAUUAAUUCUGAAGUCAAAUUCUGAUGAACAUGGAUGGGUGGUAUCUGGGAAAGUUGGAGUCUUGAUGGGGGCAAAGAUUUUCUGCUAAUUUUGAUGCUCAACGUAGGAAUUUUGAAGUACUUUGGUGGCCAUAGUUUGGGCAAUUGCAGCCGCUGGAUCUGUGUGACGGAAAAAAUGCUCCGUGUCUGUACUUAUUAUUGGUUUCCAUUACAUCGACUCCGUGUUCUGAUUCCUGGAUUGAUUUGCAGCAUUUCGUCUACCACCAUCGAACCAUGCGGCUUUAGAUCCGGGAAUUGCUGUUCGCCAAGCACCUAGUGAGGAAUUGCUGGGGAAGACCGUCUUACUGUGGAUGAAGUGAAUGAAGAGGUUGAAAUUACUGAUUGCUGAGGUCUUAUUUGAGACAAUUGAACUUAAUGCAUAUCUGGAAAAUAUAUUCCGUUCUGAUAUCUUUGACCAUAAUUUUGUUUGCGUCUCUUAUUAUUGCAUCUGGACUUACGUAUAGGGGAGGAAGACAAUAAUGUUGUGGACCAUACAUAGUCCAUGGUAAAAUGUUGGUGAAGGUAGGUAGUGGAAGAUGAUCCAUGACAGAGCUACUAAGCAUUUUCUAAUCAUCAGGAUGGUGUAACUUGAUUUUAAUUUCUCCCUUCAUCCCAUUUCUUUAAGUGCUAUGCUAGCUAUUCAGAUGGAUAAAAGGGGUUUUUAUGAUAUCUCCAUAUUUAUGCACUUAUCUCCUUAAUUCUUUGACAUUUUGUUUCUUGAGGAGAAUGGGGAAGGCAGCCAUUGGAAAGCCAACUGAGCAACAGGAACAGAAACAAUAAAGAUCAGCACAUACAGUGUAUUCUUCAGUGGAUGAAAGGAGUGAUACUUGCCCUACUUGUAAACAGGUAUACAUUGUUCCCGCACUUAUGUGAUUACUGAUAUGUUUCUUCUGUUUCAUUAGGUAAUGAUUUUUGAGAAAAUCAUUUAGAAAGAUUUAUACUUGCUAAUUUGCUUUAAAAAGAUUUAUAGCAUUAACAAGAACACUAGCACACAGGUCAAUACGAAGGAGAAGGCGAAACAUUAAUAAAAUCUUUCAUUCCUUUUAGCAUCUAUAACAUCUGUUUCCAACCCUUCUUUCUGAGAAAUAAAAGCUCUUAUGCAAGAAUGAGCUGUGAUUCAGAGUUGCAUGAAUUGUUAACAUAUCAUUAGUAAACAAUGGGUAGUGUAUCGAGCAGCUCAGCAUCAGAAACAAUCUUACCAAAGAAUUGGUGAGCACCGCAAUCAAUAUUUAGAUUUUAUUUAUUAUUUAACUAAUAUUGCUUCUUUUUGUGUA